GAUGAACGCUGGCGGCGUGCUUAACACAUGCAAGUCGAACGGAAAGGCCCAAGCUUGCUUGGGUACUCGAGUGGCGAACGGGUGAGUAACACGUGGGUGAUCUGCCCUGCACUUCGGGAUAAGCCUGGGAAACUGGGUCUAAUACCGGAUAGGACGAUGGUUUGGAUGCCAUUGUGGAAAGUUUUUUCGGUGUGGGAUGAGCUCGCGGCCUAUCAGCUUGUUGGUGGGGGAAUGGCCUACCAAGGCGUCGACGGGUAGCCGGCCUGAGAGGGUGUACGGCCACAUUGGGACUGAGAGACGGCCCAGACUCCUACGGGAGGGAGCAGUGGGGAAUAUUGGACAAUGGGCGCAAGCCUGAUGCAGCGACGCCGCGUGGGGGAUGACGGCCUUCGGGUUGUAAACUCCGUUCGCUAGGGACGAAGCGUUUUUGUGACGGUACCUGGAGAAGAAGCACCGGCUAACUACGUG
rnacentral:rRNA from 1 species